rnacentral:lncRNA from 1 species
AAAACACAUAAUCGUAAGCUUAGUUAUCACGCAUGAUGAACCACGUGACGUGAGAUGAUUGACAGGUCUGACGCAAAUCAGGAAGAGGAGACACAUCUGGCUGCGUUCGCUGUUUGAGCUCUUCAGAUCGCAUAAUUCAGUGAAAAAUGAAUAAAAAUGUUUUUCUGUAUGACGAAAUAUUUUACUAACAUGAUAACUAAUCAUUAUUUCUCCAAAUAUGCGCACCAUUGGACUAAUAGGCCUGGCGGAUGCUGUAUUUUUUAUGUAUUUGAACACAAAUAAACCGGAGAAGACGAGAAUAAAUGUUGUUGUGGCCCUCCGUUUACUUUGCCAAAGUAACUGUGGCCCUCAGACUAACACUGUUGCCCACCCCUGGUCUAGGUGGUCAUACAUAUACCUUAAAUACGAGACAAACUUCUUUGAUGCCUUAAAUAUGGGACGAUUGCGUAUUAUACCGAACGGUUGCCAACCCUAUGAGAUGGAGACGCUCCACGCUUGUAAAUGAUAACAGUGCAACACAAAACGCGUCAGACUUUACAUGCGUUCCCAAAUAAAACCCAAACAAACAGCAGAUGCAGUAAAAGACCGAACAAUAUAAUGCAAGCACUAUCAAAAGUUUUACCACAAACACAAUUUAUACUGAUAUCGCGAGACAGCUUUUCACAUCAAGGAGUAAUAUCGGCAGGUGAAACGGCUCUGUAUUUAUAUCAGAUGCGCAUCAUCAUUAAUUAUGCGUAAAAAGAUUGUUUUAUCGAGGGGAAAAAUAACACUUAUUUCAUAUAUACUGCCCUUUAAAAAUCAAGUACCUUCUUUAACUUUAAGUACCUUCUCAGAAAUAUGGCUGUUUUCAAGGGUUUUCCAGGACUUACAUUUAAAAAAAGUCAAAUUCAAAUACUUCAAGCACUUUAAGCACCUUGUACGAACCCUGCUUGGAAUAUGACACAUGAAUAGCAUGAACUACAGAUCAGAUAUGAGUUUUUGGUUUGCUUGUUCUGUCAUUUAUUUAUUAAUUUUGAUAGAUGAAGCCCUGUCUCAGCGCAGUGAGAUCAGCAUGGAAUUCAGGAAUUGCGACCCAUUUUCCAGUAAGACUGAUUUUCUUUCUCAGAAAUAUGGCUGUUUUCAAGGGUUUUCCAGGACUUACAUUUAAAAAAAGUCAAAUUCAAAUACUUCAAGCACUUUAAGCACCUUGUACGAACCCUGCUUGGAAUAUGACACAUGAAUAGCAUGAACUACAGAUCAGAUAUGAGUUUUUGGUUUGCUUGUUCUGUCAUUUAUUUAUUAAUUUUGAUAGAUGAAGCCCUGUCUCAGCGCAGUGAGAUCAGCAUGGAAUUCAGGAAUUGCGACCCAUUUUCCAGUAAGACUGAUUUUCUUUUUACAAAAAAAUAUAUAUACAUUUACAGUGAGUUAAAUGCUUUUCCUUAAAGGGAUAGUUCACCCAAAAAUGAAAAUAAUCAUUUACUCACCCUUGAGUUUGUCUAAUGUCAUAUGUCCUUCUUUCUUUUUCGGUACCACAUAAGGAGAUUAAAAUAAAAUGUCCUGAUUGUGCUUGUCCAUAUAAUGUCAGUCUAUGGCAAUUAACAUCAAGCUUUUAAAAUAGAAGCAAAAAGUUUAACAGAGUGGUCUUAUGGAUUGUGCUUGUCCAUAUAAUGUCAGUCUAUGGCAAUUAACAUCAAGCUUUUAAAAUAGAAGCAAAAGUAUAACAGAGUGGUCUUAUGCAUCAUGUUUUGUAUAUUCCUAGUGUUCUGUGGGUAUACAAUAAAGUUUGGUGAGAAACAAAUUAAAAUUUUACAUAUUUAACAAAUAUCCUUCUUGAUUGUUGGUCUCUGUGCAUGACUGUGUGUUCAUGUGUUCUCGGAAUUGCACACAAGUUGUGAAAAAAAAAAAAUCAAGAUUACUAAAAAUGUGACAUAAAAAACAACAACGUAUAGAAAUCUCCCAAAGAGUAUCUGUGUACUUUCUUCACUGACUCUGGACCUGAGCUUCGGUUGACAGAUGAACGUGAUAACUUCCUGUUUCAACGAGCACAGCAGAUAUAUUUACCUCAGAGGACAGUGGUUGAGUUAGACUGAACUGCUGUGCUAACAGAGUCUCAUGAACACAUUCAUGCACAGAGACCAACAGUCAAUAAUAUGUUGAGUUUGUUUCUCACCAGACCCUAUCGUAUAUACCCAGAACACUUUGAUUAUACGGCACGUGUCACAUGGAACCACUCUGUGAUAAUUUUAACUUGUGCCCACGAGCAUGUGCUCUUGAAGCUCCGCACUCUUCUGAGAAGGGAGGCGGGAGCACCAGCUCAUUUUCAUUUAAAAGGGACAAACACAAAAAUCAGCACGUUUUGGCUCAUACCCUAAAUGUGGCGAUUUCAGCAAGCUAUAAAAAAUUAUCUGUGGGGUAUUUUGAGAUAAAACUUAAAAUACACACAAUUAAAAAUAUUGUUUCAAUGCAUUCUAUGGCACCUUUAAUAAGAGUUUAUUUGUAAUCCAACAGAAGUGUGUAACAUCUGCUGGAAUGACAAAUAAACUCUUUC